UGUGUGUGAUAGUGUCACUGUGUGUGUGUGUGAUAGUCACUGUGUGUGUGAUAGUCACUGUGUGUGUGAUAGUGUCACUGUGUGUGUGUGUGUGAUAGUCACUGUGUGUGUGACUGAUAGUGUCACUAGCAUUGUGUGUGUGAUAGUGUCACCCAAUACACACUACACAACAGACACACGCCGCAGACUACACAGACUCACAACACACACUACACAACAGACACACACAGCAGGUUACACAAGUGACAACAGACACUAGAACAAGAGAAACUACAAUUCCCAGAAUGCAAAGAAACUAAAAUGACACUAAGAAGCCAGAUAUGGGCGUGUCUUACUGAACAGGGCGGGGCGCUAUAACACGCCUCCUUGGCUCCUCCCUGAUACGUCUGAGGUGGGCGUGGCUAGAGGCACCUGCGCACUGAGCCGGCAGCACGGGGCCUGACAGUCAUGCAGAAGUACGAGAAGCUGGAGAAGAUCGGAGAGGGUACUUAUGGCACCGUGUUUAAGGCUAAAAACCGCGAGACCCAUGAGAUUGUGGCCCUGAAGCGGGUGCGCCUGGACGAUGAUGAUGAGGGGGUGCCCAGCUCUGCAUUACGAGAGAUUUGUUUGCUGAAGGAACUGAAGCACAAAAACAUUGUCAGGU